UUUCCUCUUGGUCAAUCGCGAAGUGCCCCGGGCCAGCACACAGUGUUGUUGUUUAGAACUACAGCAGUAUGCCAGCCUGCUUCCUCCCUUCAGUGGUGACCUGGAGGUGUGGCCCACGACAGCAGCUGGGUCUUAGUCUCAGGUGUCUUUCUAAUCUGCCCAAGGACUUUUUCCAUUGUCCGUUUAUGAGGAAAGGAUCAGAUCGAAGCCCACAAAAGGAUUAUUUGGUGUGGCAUAGAAUUUCUUUUUAAAAAAGCAGACAUUAAACACACUCAGACACAGACACAGAUGUAGACAAAUGAACCAGCUCUAGCGAGGAGGAGAGAGAGAGAGACUCCUAAAAGUACAGCUGAAUCAGAAGAGAAUCUCAGGUCCCGGAAGAAAAUGACUCAUGUGGCGGAAAUGGAGCCCGUGCUGAAUAUCUGAUUGUAUCCUUGCUGUGAUGGGAAGUAAUUUCAAAGGACUCACGCUUCAGAACAAACCCUCAAUUAUGGUUGUAAUUAAUGAAUGAAUGGCCGAGCCUUCUGCUUGCAGGUCGCCUUUCAUCCCAGCACACCUCAAAACCAAACAGCGGCCUUGCCCAGGACUCCCGCUGGCCCUGGGAGGGAUGCAGGCCUGUGCACUGCCCUGCACCCUGGGGCCUGGCUGAGUCCCAGCAUGGCCGACUUGUGUGUGACUGUGACCCGCAGAGAGCAGGAAAUGUGUCCUGGGCUGCUGAGUCCUAUCCUUCCGCCUCAAAACAAAGAACCAGUUUAACAGAGGAGGCAAACAGCUGCAGUGGCAUCUGGUGGGACAAGCUGAGUUCGUGUCAGUGGCAGAGCCGUCACUGUUACUGGUAUCAUGUGCUUAGAAGGUCCUGUAAAUCUACGCUGGGUUGAAGAGCAGCAACUGGAAGAGUCCACUGAUGGUUCCAACACAUGACAGCAUCAAAAGGCAGUGACUGAGAGUGGCAGAGACCAGCGGUGUUACCCCUCAUACGGAGGACCUUGGAGGAUGUUGUACAUCGCAGAAAACUCACUACACUGCCAACCCUUAGAGAAGAAAUUGAAAAUGCAAAAAAAAAAAGAAAAUGCACCUGCAGCAAGCUCAGUGACCAAGGUGACCCAAAUGGCAGUUCACCGUACUAAUAAAUAUCUGGGAGCUCAUGGCCACCACUCUGAGCACCUCUUGUCAUUGUAGAGGUCAAAGGUAACUUGUAUUAAUCUCAUGAUGU